rnacentral:rRNA from 1 species
GACGAACGCUGGCGGCGUGCUUAACACAUGCAAGUCGAACGGUGAAGCGCCUUCCUUUUUGGUGGGUGUGGAUGAGUGGCGAACGGGUGAGUAACACGUGAGUAACCUGCCCCCUUCUUCUGGAUAACCGCAUGAAAGUGUGGCUAAUACGGGAUAUUCUGGGUCUGUCGCAUGAUGGGUCUGGGAAAGAUAUUGUUUCGGUGUGGGAUGGGAUCGCGGCCUAUCAGGUUGUUGGUGGGGUGAUGGCCUACCAGGGCGGUGAGGGGUAGCCGGCCUGAGAGGGUGGACGGCAACACGGGGACUGCGACGCGGAGCAGACUACUACGGGAGGCAGCAGGGGAGAAUGGUGCACAAUGGGAGCAAGGCUGAUGCAGCGACGCGGCGUGAGGGAUGGAGGCCUUCGGGUUGUGAACCUCUUUCGCCAGUGAAGCAGGCCUGCCUAGUUUGUGGGUGGGUUGACGGUAGCUGGAUAAGAAGCGCCGGCUAACUACGUG